rnacentral:rRNA from 1 species
CAGUCGCCGCGGGAAUACGAAGGGGGCUAGCGUUGCUCGGAAUUACUGGGCGUAAAGGGAGCGUAGGCGGAUGUUUAAGUCAGAGGUGAAAGCCCAGGGCUCAACCUUGGAACUGCCUUUGAUACUGGACAUCUUGAGUGUGGGAGAGGUAAGCGGAACUCCGAGUGUAGAGGUGAAAUUCGUAGAUAUUCGGAAGAACACCAGUGGCGAAGGCGGCUUACUGGCCCAUUACUGACGCUGAGGCUCGAAAGCGUGGGGAGCAAACAGGAUUAGAUACCCCCGUAGUCCCUGUCUCUUAUAA